rnacentral:rRNA from 1 species
GACGAACGCUGGCGGCGUGCCUAAUACAUGCAAGUCGACCUUAGUGGCGAACGGGUGAGUAACACGUGGGUAACCUGCCCAUCAGAAGGGGUUAACACUUGGAAACAGGUGCUAAUACCGUAUACUGAUGUAUGGACCCGCGGUGCAUUAGCUAGUUGGUGAGGUAACGGCCCACCAAGGCCACGAUGCAUAGCCGACCUGGGAGGGAGUUCGGCCACUUGGGGACUGAGACACGGCCCAAACGCCUACGGGAGGCAGCAGUAGGGAAUCUUCGGCAAUGGACGAAAGUCUGACCGAGCAACGCCGCGGGAGUGAAGAGGUUUUUCGGAUCGUAAGACUCUGUUGUUAGAGAAGCGGUAUCUAACCAGAAAGCCACGGCUAACUACGUGCCAGCAGCCGCGGUAAUAC